GGGGAUAAAAUGUGCAUGCGCAGAUAACGUGUGGCAAGAAUCGCAGUUAUAGUACAGCUGGUGCAGGAUUAUGUAGGUAAAUGUCAAACGCUUUAAACAAUUUUUUUAACUUUCAACAGCGGCGUGUUACAAUAGUGCGAAAUAUGUGCAGUGCAUUAAGAAAUAACUGUUAGCGUAAGCGUUUUCGGGGUUCGUUGUCGUGAAAUAUCAAACGUUUGAGUCAUGGAAGAGCUUGAAAAACAAUCGGACGUGGAUACAACUCCAGUUCCGGAUUCGCCAAAACCUCUCGCAUUUACCAUUGACUUUGGAGAAGGAAAAGUGGAUAAGCAACGGCAUAAAUUGUUGAUGGAAAAGUAUCAGAAACGACAAUUAAGCGUUACGGAAAAGAAGGAGAAGCAGAAAAGUAAAGGAAGUACAACCGGUAAAACAAGGGAUGAUUUAAGUUUACCUCUGAAGAACGUCACCACAGAUCGAAUGACUCAAUCGUGUAAGUUUCCCAGCGUUUCUAGUCCUGAAAUAGAGCUGAGGGAUUCAGAAAUAGUAGUUUCGACGAAAUUAGUACGCUACGCCAAUUUAGAAUGUGAUAAUAAAAGUUUAGAAAAAGAUUUAUUUGUUGAUGGUACUGAUUUUGAUUUUGAAGCUGAUUUUGAUAAAUCCGAUAACAUAAGCGAUGCCGGAACGUAUACGUUGGACGCGGACAAUUACUCGGAGGAACAAAAAGAAAGAAUGAGCAUCGAUAGAGAAUUUCAAAUCGAACAAGUUUCACUUUUACGCAAAACAGAAGAUUAUAUUAAAAGUUUAGAUAUUGGAAAACCAGUUGAACCUGAACUGACACUCCCGAAGCCCCAAACCUUAGAUUUAAGUAAUAGUCAAAAAUCGAAUCGACUAACUGAGCAAAAACAAAGGUUAUUAUCACCGAUUCUAUCCCCGACACAAAAUUUAUCAAUAACACAAAAUAACAAACAAGAAGUUAAAGUAAACAAUGAAGAUCAAAGUAAAACUUUUACUAAAAUUAUGUUUCCAAGUCCGAAAGCAAAAACCGGAAUCGGAUCUGAACAACCGCCGGAUCAUGGUAGCGUUAUAUCGGUAACUUCAAGUGGUGCUUUUCGUUCAAGAAACGAGAAGAAACGACAUGUUAGACAUUUAAGUUUAAGUAAAUCCGGGGUCCAAGUUGAAGCGUACACAGAAAACGGUUUUCAAAAUGAAAUUAUAAUGGCUCCAAUCCCAAACAGUUCAACAUUAACGGCCAGUGUUGUUCAUGUAACGGAUAAUUUUCCCAAACCACCCGAGGUGCGAAGGAGUUCGUUCGAACUUGGAAUAGUCGGAAAUAAAUUAACUAAUAUACCAUUUGUUUUGGGAUGUGGCGGUAAAAUUUCCCCGACGAAAAUUCCCUCUCCGAUACAUACCUCAAGGCCAAGAAGUCGAAACAGCACCGGAUCUACGAACAUAGAUCUUUCCGAUAGUAGUUUAGAAACCGAAUCUUAUUUAAAACCGACGCAAAACAUAAUAAAUUCACUUCAACAAAGGUUAUCAUUGGAUAACGAUCAAGAUUUGGACGCAACGUAUCUUAAUAAUGAUGCAAGAAAUUUGCUAAAGAAACCAACUCACUUAAGACAUAACUCGUUUGAUGAUAAAAACUUAAAAUUAUCUAAUAAACUGGAGCAUUUCCAAACGAAAAACUUUCAGGGUAUUGAUCAAACUUACACCAACGUACUCAAUCAAUAUAAAGUAAACAAAAUUCAAAAUUCACCAAAUAACAGUCCGAUACGUCGUUCAAGCAGUUUUUCCACUAAUAAAAAUCAAAUCAAUUUGAAAAACUUUUCCAAAGAAACUAAUUUAAUUAAUUCCCCGAACAUCAAUCGAAACACAUCCUCAAUUCAAAGGUCUUCAUCAACCGCCAACAUCAAACCAAAUUUAUUAACACGACGACCCAGCACGGGAUCCGAUCAUCAUCAAAAAAUCGACCGAACCAUUUACGGCGAUACCGAAUCGAGUUCUGAAGAAGAUUACGAUAAGAAUAUUAAGAAGAAAGAUAUCACCAAUACCCGUUAUAAUCGGGCGUUUAGUUUACGUCGGGCUCGAUUGGAAGAACCGCCGCCGCCAAAAUGUCCGAAUACGCCAGAAAUGCGCAGGAAAUUUCCUGCAUCCGAAUCCAGCCAACGUGCAAUUUCCGUCGACCGAAAACCGACCACAAAAACGAACGACGUGCCAAGCCGAUACCUGCAGAGUGUUUCUAAGAAAAAUUCGAUGCCUCCGCCUCCGUCCGUUAAACCGGAAACCCCAAAAAGUGCCAACAGGGCGGGUAGUGCCGGAAAAGUACCACAACAAACGGGAAAAUCACAAGUGUUUUCGCGUACCGAUAGUGGACGUUACAGUAUGAGGAGUAAUAGUAAACCACCUGCCGGAAGUAACACGCCUAAGAAUUUAAGGAAAGAUUCUGCAGGUAAAUCAAAAUCUGGAGGACGAAGCAACUCAUCACUAUCCAGCCGAGAAGUUGAAUUUCAGAACUGGAAGCGAAGGAAAAGUUAUGAUCCGAUGAAGGCCGCCGCGGAGGGAAAAAGAAAAGCGGAACUAGCGAAAAAGCAGUCGAACAUGACCGCUUCGUACACAGAAGGAAAUCAGGAUUACGAUAGUUCGCCUUCACAUUCCAGCUCUGUACAUCGUUCUCAGUUCAGAAACUAAUUGAAACAUUAUUAGUGCUCUUCAACAUCCAGUUGAAUUGAUUUCUAAGUACAUACAUAUAUAUAAAAAAAUAUGAUACUGAUCAAGAUAAUUUUUUAUUGUAAAUAUAGUUUUCAUGGAACCGCAGCUUUGGAACAAUUAAUCAGUUCGGAUGAAGAAGACCAAACGCUGUCUGCCGAUGAAGGCUUCAGCCCUCCG
rnacentral:misc_RNA from 1 species